rnacentral:tRNA from 1 species
GGAGAGAUGGCCGAGUGGUCGAAGGCGCCGGAUUCGAAAUCCGGUGUACCCUUGUGGGUACCGUGGGUUCGACUCCCACUCUCUCCG